rnacentral:rRNA from 1 species
GGGGGGGGGGGGGGGGGGGGGGGGGGGGGGGGGGGGGGGGGGGGGGGGCCUGCGGGUGGGGGGGGCACGAGGGGGGGACGGGGGGGUAAGGCGGGAGUAAGCUGCGCUGGGCUUUGGGAUCACUUCAGGAAAAUGGAGGUAAUACCGGCUCGUAGCUGCGGCUGCAUGGUGGGGGGUGGAAAGUUUCGGCGGUCGGGGAUGGACGAUCGGCGUAUCCGCUUGUUGGUGGUGUGUUGGUUUACCAAGGCUUUGACGGGUCGCAGGCCUGUGAGGUGGACCGGCCACAUUGGGACUGAGAUACGGCCCAGACUCCUACGGGAGGCAGCAGUGGGGAAUAUUGCACAAUGGGCGGAAGCCUGAUGCAGCAACGCCGCGUGCGGGAUGACGGCCUUCGGGUUGUAAACCGCUUUCGCCGGUGACGAAGCGUGAGUGACGGUAAGGGGUAAAGAAGCACCGGCUAACUACGUG